CCUUCAUCAAUCUCUAUUGCUGAUUCAGUGUGGAUCGAGCAUUAUGCUGUUAGGGAAAGUUUGCUGUUGUUGUUCACAGAAAUGCGGAAUCUCAUUCAUAGGAAUUGUACUAAUUGUAUGUGAGCUGAGUGGAUUUGUUUACUGUACACUGUACAUAGAGCAAACAAACACUGCAUAUGACACAUACACAGGACAGGGUUUGCCAGGAUAUGCUGGAUAUAUGUCUGCAAAUAUUAUUCUAUAUUUACUCUGUAUAUGUUCAGGGUUUGCCAGGAUAUGCUGGAUAUAUGUCUGCUAAUAUUAUUCUAUAUUUACUCGCAAUUCAAUCA